rnacentral:lncRNA from 1 species
UUUUCUUCAAAAUCUUCAGCCACAGUGCACAGGUUCUCAGGGUAAAAUGAGGGAUACAACGCGAUGAGAAAACAAUGUAUUAUUUUCUUACCUUCAAGUGUAACUGGAAGAUGCUGUGUUUUGACCAAUCCUGGUCUUUAUUUCUCCAAGUGAUUUUGCUUUCUCUGCUGGGAUGGCCUAAGUCAAUUACCCUUCUCUCCCUGAGGCGUUGUUUAUCUUCAUUCUUGGAAGAAAAGAAUUCAUAGUCUCCUCCAGCAAAAUUGCCAAUCUGCUUGAAACUAUUGCGCUUUCCAUGGAUACUGAAAUGCACUCUCCACGGGAGAUCUGGAGUUGAGGGUCAAGAUCACCUAUAAAUGUUGCCCAGGGAUUAUGCUCAGAAAAAUUCCUCCUUCCUUUAAGUUUUUGAGAAAGAACCUGAUUCGGCUAGAAAUUCAAACCCAGGAUGGACUAUCAGAAAUUGCUGAUAAGCUUUUACUGAGAAUAAAAUUUUACAGUUUAAAUGUUGGCCCUUUGGGAUCACUCAUCCAAUGCCCUCGUUUUAUUAAUGAGGAAAUCAAGGUCCAGAGAUAUGAGUGACAUGCCCAAAGUCUCGAUGUUAGAGUGGAAGAAAACCAUGAACUUGGACCUUCUCAUUCCUUUCCCAGUAUUGUGCCUGUAUUACUGUUCCAGUUUUCGUGGUGUCCUGGGAGCCCUUCAGAGGUUUGCCAUCAAGAUUUGAUGAAGUUGUAAGUGUAUGCCCCUAAUAAAUGAGGAUAUAUACUGUCAUC